UACGAAGGGGGCUAGCGUUGCUCGGAAUCACUGGGCGUAAAGCGCACGUAGGCGGCUUUCUAAGUCAGGGGUGAAAUCCUGGAGCUCAACUCCAGAACUGCCUUUGAUACUGGAGAGCUAGAGUCCGGAAGAGGUGAGUGGAACUGCGAGUGUAGAGGUGAAAUUCGUAGAUAUUCGGAAGAACACCAGUGGCGAAGGCGGCUGACUGGGACAUGUAUUGACGCUGAGGUG
rnacentral:rRNA from 1 species